rnacentral:lncRNA from 1 species
CUUACAGUCCUGUGAAUGAAACAUUGUGACCUCAAGUUUACAGAUGAAGACAAUAAACUUCAGAGAGUUCAAGUAUAUCACUCAAGGUUAGUCAUUAAUAACUAGGAAUAAUGAAUAAUCAUGAAUAAUCUUGAACUAUCCUUCUUCCUAUGCCUGUACUUGCCAUUCAGUUCAUUCCAUUUGUUCUUGCCAUGUAAGGAUUUGUUCAGUUUCUUCUACUGAUUACUGUGUUUCUUUUUCCCCUUCCUUUCUUCCUCCUUCAUUUUUUUUUCUAUAAAUCUUGGUUUAAAUAAAGUCAGUUUUUGUAGUUAGCAUCUGAGAGAGGAAAAGUCAAAAGAAAAGUGUUGGCACAUGACAUUGUAAACUCAGUCCAGAUUUGAACCCUGGUCUAAUUCCAGACCACUACUCUAAACCCUUGAAGUGUGACUUCCAAAAUCAAUGAUCAUUAGAGUUUAAUCUGACCUUGGAAGUCUUCCACUGUUACUUCCUUAAGAAGCAGUAUAGGAUGGUUAUUAAAAGUUUGGAGUUCAAUCCUGUCUGUGUCAUUUAUUAGCGAUUUUCUUGGCUUUAUAGUUUAUAUCCAUAAGAUACAAAGAAUAUAAUCAACCUCAAAGGAUGACUGAUUAUUGGGAUAGAUGAGAUGGUACAGAUAGCAGUGCCUGGCAUUUAGUAAGUACUCAGCAAUUACCAGCUGUUAUUUUUUUCUUCCCAGCUGAUACCCAGAUCUCUUUGUCUGUGGGUCUAAGUGAUUACCUACAGUUAAGAUAAGUAUUUCCUGUUAAAGGGAAUGCAUUGUCUGCUAUAAUGGUCCAUUUUAUCUUUGGAAAGUUCCAGUUAUUUGAACCUUCUUCCAAACAGACAGCUAAAAGUUGCCCUUCUCAAAAUAAUUGUUAACAAUCCUUUUUAGGAUGGCAUACAACAGACAACCA